AAUGAGAUGCCUGAAUAAAGGGCUAUCUUGAUAGGGUAGAUAAUGCAUGGUUUGCUCUCAUUA
rnacentral:tRNA from 1 species